rnacentral:rRNA from 1 species
ACUUAAUAGUAAAAACUAAAACUUGAAUAUUAAUAGUUAUUUUCUUUAAAAUCAAAGAAUUUGGCGGUACUUUAGUCUUGUUAGAGGAACCUGUUUUAUAAACGAUAAAUCACGCAAUAUCUUACUUACUUUUGUAAAUCAGUUUGUAUACCGUCAUUAUUAAAUAAUUUUGAAAAAAGAUAAUUAUUGAAAUUAAUAAUUUAAACUUAAAUAUAUUAGAUCAAGGUGCAGCUUAUAGGUAAGUAAAAAUGGGUUACAAUGAUGUUUAGUUAUAUGAAUGGCGAAGAGAAUAAUUUGUUUAAAGGUGGAUUUAAUUGUAAGGAUAAUUUAAUAAGUUAUCUUGAUAUAAGCUCUAAAUUAUGUACAUAUCGCCCGUCACUUUCAUUUAAAAU